CUUAAUUUUACAUUUUUGUAAAUGUUUUUGUAAUUUUGUUAUUUACUUUUGUUAUUAUUUAAUGUUUCUUUUAAAAAUAUUAUUAUUGAUAUUGUUAUAAAUAUGACUAUAUUUGUUCAGUGUAUUAUUAGUGUGUUUUCAUUUUCAAUUUUUGCUUAAUUUUCAGUAUUUUCAUUUAAUUUUCUAAUUCUUUAAAAAAGUAUUACUGUUUAAGUUUAAAUUUUCUUUUCUUUAUUAUGAUUUGUUUUGUUUUCUUUUAUUUUUCAGUUAGUAAUUUUCAUGCUUCAACUUCAUCUUUAUUUCAAUUAGCACCAAUGUUUUUAAUGGUUUUAGUUAAUAAUAGUCCUGUAUUUGUCACAUGGAUGUUUCCUUUGUCACUGUUUUCCCUCCACUUGUUUGUUUCCUUGAUUAGCAGUUGCUCCACACCUGUUUCAGUUCUUCCUGAUUACCUUCCUCGUGCAUUUAAACCCCGUGUCUUCCUCAGGUCUAGGUCUGCUAUUGUUCUGUUCUCCCUGUGGAUUUAUUAAAGCCUCUAAUCGACUCUGAAGAUGCCGUCCGUUCACAGACGUGUGGCUCUAAUCAAACAUGUUUCUCUGGGAAGAAUGAGUGCUGUCUGGACGCAGUGGACUCUGCAGCACACAUGCUCAGAAAAAGACAGUCAUGCGGGUUUGGAACGGGACGAGGGUGAGAAACUGUACAUGAACAAUACACCCAUAAACAAACAUGGUAAAGCUGGACGGAAAGUAUUGGACCAGUACAAACACAUUGUGACAGCGCAGGAAAUAUUAACACUCGCAGACGGCCAAGAGUCCAGCACCAGAGGGGAAGGGCGGCCUUCGUUCUCCUCGUUUAGUCUGGAGGAUCUUCAACAUCGCUCCGGAGAGAUUACUCGACUUCAAAUGUAAAAUACUUGUAGUGUGUGUAACGUCUCACACAAACCAGUUUGUGCUUCCUGUAGGGAAAAACAGGAAGGAAACCUGGAGAGUUUAUUGUCCCCAGGUGACUCUUUUUUUCUGUCCUUCAUGCAUUUGUUUCUGUUCCUCUGUUCCAGAAUGACUUUAACAGUCCAAGAGUUCAGAAGAAUCAUGUUUUCAAAACUAAGUUAUACAAUUUAUACAUUUUAU
rnacentral:lncRNA from 1 species